UNGGCGGCGUGGAUAAGACAUGCAAGUCGAACGAGAGAAUUGCUAGCUUGCUAAUAAUUCUCUAGUGGCGCACGGGUGAGUAACACGUGAGUAACCUGCCCCCGAGAGCGGGAUAGCCCUGGGAAACUGGGAUUAAUACCGCAUAGUAUCGAAAGAUUAAAGCAGCAAUGCGCUUGGGGAUGGGCUCGCGGCCUAUUAGUUAGUUGGUGAGGUAACGGCUCACCAAGGCGAUGACGGGUAGCCGGUCUGAGAGGAUGUCCGGCCACACUGGAACUGAGACACGGUCCAGACACCUACGGGUGGCAGCAGUCGAGAAUCAUUCACAAUGGGGGAAACCCUGAUGGUGCGACGCCGCGUGGGGGAAUGAAGGUCUUCGGAUUGUAAACCCCUGUCAUGUGGGAGCAAAUUAAAAAGAUAGUACCACAAGAGGAAGAGACGGCUAACUCUGUGCCAGCAGCCGCGGUAAUACAGAGGUCUCAAGCGUUGUUCGGAAUCACUGGGCGUAAAGCGUGCGUAGGCUGUUUCGUAAGUCGUGUGUGAAAGGCGCGGGCUCAACCCGCGGACGGCACAUGAUACUGCGAGACUAGAGUAAUGGAGGGGGAACCGGAAUUCACGGUGUAGCAAAUCACUAGUGAAUUC
rnacentral:rRNA from 1 species